AGCAGAUGCAUUACGUAUUGAUAGAACUUUGCCUUUGGCGAUCACAUAAACUGUACAAAAGCCAGGUGCAAUUUUGGAGACAGAGCUUGGAACGUCCAACGUCUUGAAUCUUCUGAGUCUAAGUGUUCUCCCAUCACCAGAUUCUCUGUGAUAUUGGCUGCAACAUAGUCACUUAUGGAGUUUGCUAUGUCCAUGCCUUCAAUCACAACUUCAUUGACGUGGAUCUAUGACAAAGGGAGAAACACUGAUUCAGAAAAUGGAAGUACGUUUGCAAGAACGCGAUGAAGAAUGAGUAAGAAAUAGCAGACACUUACAUUCUUGCGGUUGCAGAAGCAACGAAAGGUGGAUAGAAUGGAAUGCACGGUUGAAGCUUGUGGCGGAUGUAGGUUUUGAACAAGGUUCAGCUAAACCCAGUAUUUUCGAUAUAGAGCAUAGAUAUAUAUGUAAAAAAUCAGUGAAGUUUUAACAAAUAUUAAAUUAUGAGUUCAAUAA